AGAUUGAACGCUGGCGGCAGGCCUAACACAUGCAAGUCGAGCGGUAGAGAGGUGCUUGCAUCUCUUGAGAGCGGCGGACGGGUGAGUAAUGCCUAGGAAUCUGCCUAGUGGUGGGGGAUAACGUUCGGAAACGGACGCUAAUACCGCAUACGUCCUACGGGAGAAAGCGGGGGACCUUCGGGCCUCGCGCCAUUAGAUGAGCCUAGGUCGGAUUAGCUAGUUGGUGAGGUAAUGGCUCACCAAGGCGACGAUCCGUAACUGGUCUGAGAGGAUGAUCAGUCACACUGGAACUGAGACACGGUCCAGACCUCCUACGGGAGCAGCAGUGGGGAAUAUU
rnacentral:rRNA from 1 species